rnacentral:rRNA from 1 species
AGAGUUUGAUCCUGGCUCAGGAUGAACGCUGGCGGCGUGCUUAACACAUGCAAGUCGAACGGAGCGCCGGACACGGACUAUUUCGGUAGGAAGCGUGCGGAGGCUUAGUGGCGGACGGGUGAGUAACGCGUGGAUAACCUGCCGCAUACCGGGGGAUAACAGCUGGAAACAGCUGCUAAUACCGCAUAUGCCCGCAGUGCUGCAUGGCACAGCGGGGAAAACUCCGGUGGUAUGCGAUGGGUCCGCGUCUGAUUAGGCAGUUGGCGGGGUAACGGCCCACCAAACCGACGAUCAGUAGCCGGCCUGAGAGGGCGGACGGCCACACUGGGACUGAGACACGGCCCAGACUCCUGCGGGAGGCAGCAGUGGGGAAUAUUGCACAAUGGGGGAAACCCUGAUGCAGCGACGCCGCGUGAAGGAAGAAGUAUCUCGGUAUGUAAACUUCUAUCAGCAGGGAAGAAAACAGACGGUACCUGACUAAGAAGCCCCGGCUAACUACGUGCCAGCAGCCGCGGUAAUACGUAGGGGGCAAGCGUUAUCCGGAUUUACUGGGUGUAAAGGGAGCGUAGACGGCAGGGCAAGCCAGAAGUGAAAACGCAGAGCUUAACUUUGCGACUGCUUUUGGAACUGCCCAGCUAGAGUACAGGAGAGGUAAGUGGAAUUCCUAGUGUAGCGGUGAAAUGCGUAGAUAUUAGGAGGAACACCAGUGGCGAAGGCGGCUUACUGGACUGAGACUGACGUUGAGGCCCGAAAGCGUGGGGAGCGAACAGGAUUAGAUACCCUGGUAGUCCACGCCGUAAACGAUGUAUACCAGGUGUUGGAUAUCAAGGAUAUCCGGUGCCGAAGCAAACGCAUUAAGUAUACCACCUGGGGAGUACGUUCGCAAGAAUGAAACUCAAAGGAAUUGACGGGGACCCGCACAAGCGGUGGAGCAUGUGGUUUAAUUCGAAGCAACGCGAAGAACCUUACCAGGCCUUGACAUCCGGAUGGCGUAUGGGCAAUGCCAUAUUUCCUCCGGGGCAUCAGAGACAGGUGGUGCAUGGUUGUCGUCAGCUCGUGUCGUGAGAUGUUGGGUUAAGUCCCGCAACGAGCGCAACCCUUAUUCCCAGUAGCCAGCAUUUCGGAUGGGCACUCUGGGGAGACUGCCGGGGAAGACCCGGAGGAAGGCGGGGAUGACGUCAAAUCAUCAUGCCCCUUAUGGCCUGGGCUACACACGUGCUACAAUGGCGCAUACAAAGGGAGGCAAAGGAGCGAUCUGAAGCAAAUCCCAGAAAAGGCGCCCCAGUUCGGAUUGCAGCCUGCAACUCGGCUGCAUGAAGCUGGAAUCGCUAGUAAUCGCGGAUCAGAAUGCCGCGGUGAAUACGUUCCCGGGUCUUGCACUCACCGCC